AUUCUAUUCAUCUCUUUUUCCCUUUUUUAUUUUUCCGAAUUUGUUAUUUAAAAAUUUGGCGGGAAAAUUUGAAAUCUGAUGGUGGUUCUUGAG
rnacentral:ribozyme from 11 species